UACGAAGGGUGCAAGCGUUGCUCGGAAUUAUUGGGCGUAAAGGGCAGGUAGGUGGUCUUAUUUGUCUAGGGUGAAAUCCCAGGGCUUAACCCUGGAAGUGCCUUAGAAACGGUAGGACUAGAGUUCUAGAGAGGGUCGUGGAAUUCCCGGUGUAGCGGUGAAAUUCGUAGAUAUCGGGAGGAACACCAGUGGCGAAGGCGGCGACCUGGGCCAAUAUUGACGCUGAGGUGCGAAAGCGUGGGGAGCAAACAGG
rnacentral:rRNA from 1 species